UACAGAGGUCCCAAGCGUUGUUCGGAUUCACUGGGCGUAAAGGGUGCGUAGGUGACCAGGUAAGUUUGGUGUGAAAGCUCGGAGCUUAACUCCGAAAAGUCAUUGAAUACUAUCUGGCUGGAGGGUCGGAGGGGAGACUGGAAUUCUCGGUGUAGCAGUGAAAUGCGUAGAUAUCGAGAGGAACACCAGUGGCGAAGGCGAGUCUCUGGACGACUCCUGACACUGAGGCACGAAAGCUAGGGGAGCAAACAGG
rnacentral:rRNA from 1 species